GAUCAAACUAUAAGACGUGGGAGUUAGUAAAUAACUACCGAAUCGGAAUACUGGCAUUGUGCCCAGGAUCCAUAUUCGCUGCGAUACUAACUC
rfam:Lactobacillus sp. ASF360 genomic scaffold acMPL-supercont1.3, whole genome shotgun sequence.